UAGAGGCCCACCAAACCGACGAUCAGUAGCCGGCCUGAGAGGGUGAACGGCCACAUUGGGACUGAGACACGGCCCAAACUCCUACGGGAGGCAGCAGUGGGGAAUAUUGCACAAUGGGGGAAACCCUGAUGCAGCGACGCCGCGUGAGCGAAGAAGUAUUUCGGUAUGUAAAGCUCUAUCAGCAGGGAAGAUAAUGACGGUACUUGAGGAGGAAGCCCCGGCUAACUAC
rnacentral:rRNA from 1 species